rnacentral:rRNA from 1 species
UUUUAUUUAAGAGUUUGAUCCUGGCUCAGGAUGAACGCUGGCGGCGUGCCUAACACAUGCAAGUCGAGCGAGAAGGUUAUGAC